GAUGAAGAACGUAGUGAAAUGCGAUACUUGGUGUGAAUUGCAGAAUCCCGUGAACCAUCGAGUCUUUGAACGCAAGUUGCGCCCGAAGCCACUAGGCCGAGGGCACGCCUGCCUGGGCGUCACACGCCGUUGCCCCCCCAUCUACUCCUUCGGGAUUGCGGGGGGGCGGAUGAUGGCCUCCCGUGCGCCUAGCCGCGCGGUUGGCAUAAAUACCAAGUCCUCGGCGACGCACGCCACGACAAUCGGUGGUUGCGAAACCUCGGUUGCCCGUCGUGUGCGUUGGUCGCGCAUCGAGGGCUCGAAAAAAUGCUCGGCUCCGGCUGGGCUUUCAACGCGACCCCAGGUCAGGCGGGGUUACCCGCUGAAUUUAAGCAUAUCAAUAAGCGGAGGA
rnacentral:misc_RNA from 1 species